GCAUUAACCUGCUUUCUGUAUAAAAUAAGUCAUUGUAAAAUCAAUUUUCUAAAUCUGAAAUUUCAUUCUAGAUAUGUGAGAUUCUUGCUGGUACAGAUGGACAGCUUGUUGAGCAAGUUGAAGGAAAGGCAGCUUGAUACCUUGGUUAAAACCUUUGAAGAUUUCACAAGACUUCAGGAAGCUACAUCCAGAGGCAGACUUUUUGAAGACUGGGCUACAGUUGCAGACCAAAUUGUUGCCUAUGCCCAGCAAGAUGGAAAGGUGCAUUAAGAGCUGGGUGACAUGACUUCAGAUGCUAAAGGGGAGAGUGCUUUCAAAGUCCUGCCCAUUCUGGAGGAAGGGUCCACAGAACCACAACCACAGAAUUCUGGAAGUCAUUCAUUGACAUACAACCUGUGGGGACCAGCAUGGUGGAUUUGUGUCUUGGGGACGAGACAACGACAUCCCAGACCUUCACAAUUGUUACGGGCCAUGCCACUGAAGCGUACUCGUUGCCAGGGAAUUUCUCCGGCUUGCAGUAUAUUAUAUUGAUGGACAUAAGUCUUCAUGUGCGAAUUUUUUAAGGCCAACAGUUUUUUCUGGCCACUUGUAACAUGUUUUAAAUUGUCAUAUGUAUUGUCUGGUGAACACUUUGUUUGGCUUAGUUUUAAUAGCACAAUGUUUGGAACAAUUUUCAUGUGGCAGUAAUUAAUUUUUGAGUGUUCUGCUGCUACAGUGUUGACAAAGAAUGGGAAUCUACAGUGCCUAGUUUACACAGUUUUGUGUUUUAAAGUAACUGAUCUACUAAAAUUGUUGUUUUAUGUGUCUGUAAUGGUUGGAUAAAAUGUGUGACAGCU